UCUACCUUUUACUUUAUUUAUUCUACCAGAUAUAGUCUUUCUUUAGCCCUCCUGAAAUAUAAAUAUUAUUUUCUAAUUAACAUCCCAAUCUAUGUCUUUGAUGAAGAUCACAAGCACCCAUCCAUCAGCAUCCCUCCCUCCGUCGUUUCUCACCCCCAAGCAUGAAACCAUUGAAUUGAGUAUCUUUGCCUCUGCAAAAGGAAACUGAGCAACCCCCACAACAUCCACAUCUAAUUAUUUGCUCCCACAUCUCCCUCUCUCUCUCUCUCUCUCUCUCUCUCUCUCUCUCUCUCUCUCUCUCUCUCUCUCUCUCUCUCUCUCUCUCGCAAUGAUGUCACCGGAUAACAUUCCGGCAAAGUCGGUUGUCAGAGACGACAGCCAAGGCUCUGGUAGCCGCAAAACUGCGUCGGCGAGGCCACCAGAGCAAGGCCUAAAGUGCCCCCGAUGCGACUCACCCAACACCAAAUUCUGCUACUACAACAACUACAGCCUCACGCAGCCAAGGCAUUUCUGCAAGACUUGUAGAAGGUACUGGACAAAAGGUGGGGCUUUGCGCAAUGUUCCCAUAGGCGGCGGUUGCAGGAAAAACAAGAAGGUUAAGUCAUCCUCGAGGCUCUCCGGCGACUCCAAAGACUCAGCCUCAUCUUCGGAGAUCGGUGGAUUGAAGUUCUUCCAUGGCCUAUCCCCAGCCAUGGAUUUUCAGCUUGGUGGGUUAUCAUUCCCUAGACUCCACCCUCCAACAACUGCUAUUAAUUACAACCAGUUUUCUUCAUUUGGAGACGUUUCGGGUACUACUUUUGCUGCUGCUUCUGGAACUGUCACCAGUCCUUGUUUUAAUCUUGAUCCUUCUGGAAGCUCUAAUUCUCUGAUGGCUUUCAAUUAUCCGCUUUCUUCCGCAACUGCCGGUGGUAGUUUCAGUCCUGGAGUUCAGAACACGAGCUCCAUGAACGUUCACAGCAAUCUUGCUUCUUCCAUCGAGUCUCUGAGUACUAUAAACCAGGACUUGCACUGGAAGCUACAGCAGCAGCGGCUGGCCAUGCUAUUUGGCGGAGAGAGUCACAAAGAUAACAACGUUUCGUCGGUUCCUCUUGAAAACCACACUCAGAAACCGCAACCCAUUGUUUUCCAGAAUCUGGAGAUUUCAAAACCAGAGGCUUCCAGCGUUGGUAAUUCAAGGAGAGAAGGUACAGGUGGUGAUCAGAUAGCGACGGAGUGGUUCUUUGGGAACUCUUUUGGGCCGGUGACACCUACUCCGACCAACAGUGGCGGCAACGGUGGCCACAAUAACGCGGGCAGCUGGAAUGGAAUUCAAACAUGGGGUGACUUGCAACAAUAUAGCGCUUUGCCCUAGAUGAAAAGGAUGUUGAAAAUAGGGAAAAUGUGAAAUUAUCAAAAACCAUUUAGGGCCAUUGCCGAUUAUGGUAGCAAAUAAAUGCUAGUUUUAGAUGAUGAAGUGAAAGCAAUGGGUGUCGGACUCCCCCUAAUUACUAUGAUGUUUUUCAGUGGUUUUUUUGAACGAUCAAUCUCUAGCGUUCUUGCUCACCGGUUCUUUAAGGGUUUGAAUGUUUGAUGAUGCUCUUUUCUUCUCUACAAAAUCUCUUUGGGAUCUGUGGUGGACUUUUUGGACUGUUAUUAUAUGGCCCUUAAUACCAUAUCUUUGAUUUGUUUUAUGUUCAGUCUGUAUCCCAGAAACUCUCAGUCUGUGUGUGUUCCCUCUCUAUAGCCAUCUUUAUCAAGGAACUGAGUCUCAGGCUGCUCAGCCACAGAACAGCAUCAAUUUAAUGAAACACCACAGUAGCAGUGGCUGGCCGGGAAAG